rnacentral:lncRNA from 1 species
AGUCAGAACCCGGGGCCAGAAUCCUCAGGCUUUGCAGAACCUCCAUAACAGCCAUAGACAACUGUCUCUGCGAUCGGUAGACAUGGAACUUGACACCCAAGGAAGUUUGUCUACUCACCAUGGCUUACAGACAAUUUGAAGGUGCUAAAACUACACUGAAUGCAGACCUCUCCCAGCCUGCUUUCUCUGCUUAGGCUGUGGGCAAAUGGCGUAGAUCCUUGAGUCGUGAGCAGGAACCUGCAGUGUCUAUACAUCUUUGGCCUUUGCUCGGAGGACAGUCCUGACCGAAGUUAUCUGAGGAUCUCAACUCAAGCUCUGCAAAGGGAGGGCUGAGACUGCUCUGACGAGGCAGGGAGAGAGAAGACAGGACUUCACGCUCCCGGCUGGGCUGAUUUCUUCUCAACCAUCAGCAAUCAAAUCCGCAUCACCACUGUGAGAAUUAAUUCCUCCUCAAGCUCCCCUUCAGAGAGCAGAGAGCGCCCCGCUGAUGUGACUCUCCCUGGCCUCCAUCUUGCUGAGGAGCACUGGUUCACAAAGAAAGGUUAAUGUUGAAAACCUCCACAGAAUGUUCACAUGGGAAGCCAGUGGUCAGGACCAAAACUCUUGGUAACACCCAGUGUGGGGAGACAGCUGGUUGUGUCUCGCUGAUGGCCUUGGAAACCCUUCAGCUCCAAAGGGGAGACCUAGCAAUUGCUACUGACUUUACACAUGCUGUUGUCUUGAUGAUACAACCUCUAAGCACUCUUCCCCCAACACGAGAAAGGAUACAUUUUUCAGGUGAUACAGGAACUGAGGGCUUCUGCUUCCAUGAAGGUUCAUGAGGACCCAUGGAAAGUGAUAUUGGAACUAUCUGGGGAGAGGUAGAAAAAAAGAAGGGGGAAAAAGAAAAAAA